AAAAUUAAAACUCCCUUAGAGGAGAAAAAAAUGCUGUCCUUGUAACUUUGGCAGGGACUUUCAGGUUUUGUUCCCUUUGUCAGAGUGGCAAAUUUUGUCUUCUAUUUGGAAGAAGGGAGAAGAAGAGCAAUGGCCCGGAAAUCUGGAAUGUGCCAAGUACCAGAGAAAGAUGAGGAGGAAGAUGGGCAGGAGGAGAAUACCUACGGGGGAGAAAGACAGCAUAUGAAAAAUGCAGCUGUUAAAGAAUCAUAAAAACAGCCAAUAGGCAAGAUUGCUAUCUACAUAAUCCCUGGGGUCAGUGCAAUCACCCCCUCAGGAACUUUCCACAAUAUUUACAUAAAUGAGGUAAUGGAGCCUUCCACUCCCCUCUCCCCACAUUGGCUAAUAAAUAUCAGCACAGUAUCUUCAGCCUAAGUUGUUCUUUCUCCGUCUCGCCCAUUUCCCAGUUAGGUUCCCUGAUUAACUCCUCUGCCCUUUCCUGUGAUAUUCAUACCGCCGAGAUAUUAAUACAUGAUGCCACAUCCCAUGUACAAUUGCUUAACCCAAAUUACGCGUUUCCUCUCUCCCUUUAAAUCGAACCCUUUGCCCCCAUCAUGAGUCUCCACGCUGUGCCCCAAAGUCCCUCAUUUCUCUCUGCUUCAGGUAAUAAAGCACCUUCGACAUUUUGAUCAUGAAAACUGGAGGGCAAGAACGGGUGGCCAUCCAAGGCUGGGAAGAAAGAGAUGUGAACAGGAGAGAAGAAAUAACGCAGAAGAGUCAGGAGACCAGCUCCCAGACUAAAUUCUAUCACAAAUCCGUUGUGUGACGGGCCAGGUUGUGAGUUUGGCUGGAUUCCUGUUGAAGCCUCUGACGGUCUCAGAUCUAAUCUUCAUUAACCCCCCAGUAGAGCAACUUGGUAGAGGCACACGGGCUUCAGCAUCUGGCAGCUUUGGGCUCAAAUUUUGCUCCACGGCCAUUUGACCUUGUAGUAAUUUAUUUGAUUCUUCUGAACCUUCGAGACAUCAGAGGUAAACUUGAGAAAGUAUAACCAACCUCACUGGUGACAUCUGUAUGAAAUAAACAGAUGCUCCCAGACUCACCCAACUCAUAACACCCCAAUGGACUCCCCUAGGCCCAAAUAUCAACUUUAGUUAAGUCCAAACAACUUUGUAAGUCUUCACAUCCUAACAAAUUAGUGGUCAUCUGAAAAAACGAUACUACAUAACUGAAAGUCCUUUGUGUGGUCUCUGGCAGAUAACCCUGUGUUUCCCUUGACAAUUUAAAAUACCUCACGGUGCCCCUGUAAGAUUGCUGUGCUGCCCCACGUCUUCAGGAUGUUCCCCUUUCACGGGGAACCAUGAAAGUUAAGCGUAGGAAAAGUUGUGAU
rnacentral:lncRNA from 1 species